rnacentral:rRNA from 1 species
GGGAACUNUAGGGAGACUGCCGGUGAUAAACCGGAGGAAGGUGGGGANGACGUCAAGUCAUCAUGGCCCUUAUGGGUAGGGGCUACACACGUGCUACAAUGGUCGGUACAGAGGGCAGCAAACGCGAGCAAGCAAAUCCCACAAAGCCGAUCCUAGUCCGGAUUGCAGUUGCAACUCGAUGCAGAAGUGGAAUCGCUAGUAAUCG